GGCUGUUCUCGAAAAGCAAGGCUACCCACACAAACUUGUCUUUUCUUUUGUUUUUUUGAUCGAUUGGUUUUGUUUUUCUUGGUAAGUGACAAAAGUACAUGGUUUAGGUAGAGGGACUUCAAGCCUCCUCUUGAAUCUUGAUCACAGGACUACCUGUCCAUGACGCUAGGAUGCUACCAAGGGAGAGGUGAGAGAGAGAGAGAGAGAGAGAGAACCAGAACCAACCAAUGCCCUUUAUCCUUUUCUAUUUUCUUAUGGUGAAACUGAAAAACCAUUCAGAAAUAUUACAGACACAAGAAUAUAUAUAUAUAUAUAUAUAUAGAAGAAUAAUGGAAUUUAUUACUACCAAACCAAUGAAUCACAGAUACAAUGAGAGAGAAAAUCUAUCCACCACUAGUACAAGUAGCAGUACAUCACAUUCAUAUUCUUCCCCAUGAUCUCCUUAUUAUUAGCCUAAAUUUAACAUCCCAUAGACAUAUUCCCCCAUCAAAAACAAAAUUAGACAAAAUUAACAUUUAAUUAUACAUCAUAUAUGAUACAAAAUCACCAACAAACACAUCAAUCACACCCAAACAAAUCCCAACAUCAACAAUAAAUAAUUAAAUUUAAACCUGAAAUUCCCAAAUAAUAUAAAAGAAAAUCCCAACCCAUUUUCCCUCUCUCUUCCCCUUGCUCCCUCUCAUUAAACACUCAAUACAAGUGAUUAAAGAGAGAGAUUAGGAGAAAUGAGCAAGCAACCAUCAAAUGAACCUAAGAUGCAGUCAUGAGCUCAGAAGAAGAACCCAAAAGCCAAAGCUGCUAGAGAUGCAAAGAAAGUGGGGACAAAGGCAUAGGCAUCAGAAGCUGGGCUUGGUGCUGGAGAAUCAGCUGCAGCUACUUUUUGAACGCCAGACAAGGCCACCAUCACAACCACCAACAAAGCCACAAAAGCAUUCAUCUUCAUUGCCUCCAUUUCUAGCUGCUUCACUUAAACUCAGACUUCAGAAAGAAAGAAAAAAGAUUGAAAGAAAGAAGCUCUGGCUCUGCACUUGCUAUCUAGUUAGAGAGAGGCAGAGUUU
rnacentral:lncRNA from 1 species